rnacentral:lncRNA from 1 species
GCACCGUAAUGCUAGAAAGGGCACGAUCAUUAAAAAUGAACUCAAAUAUUUCAGCUAUCAAACUUGCAUUCCUGCAGUUUAUCAGUUGAGGACAAUUGUUAGCAUGCAACUUGUACUUACAUAAGGAAGUUUUACACGAGACACACAUUUCUGCAUGAGUCUUUUGUACCAAAUCCAUUGCUUCUGUUGUGGAGUUCGUAAUGACAGAGUGGAAAAUCACGCCGUGCCCUCUCCCUGCAGGCAUCGUUGAAAGUGAUGACGUCAGCGCUCUAAUUGGAGAAAUGGAGAAGGCUGCUCGUUAUUGGCAGAAGGUUGCAGUCAACUGGUGGACUCCUUGGCCCAGAGGGCUUCGAUCAGAGCUCCGGUUGCAGGCCAGGCUCGGGCAGGCAGCGCCCCAGUCGGGAGGGCCCAGACUGGGGGACGACAGGAGAAACUUCCCCCACCUCGACCCACCAUCCUCACACUCACACGGCUGGUCAGAGCAACACCAUCACUCCAUCCUCUCUCAUCUGUCACUGUGUCAGCACUGUGUCAUCUGUGUCAUCACAUUGGUUGUCACCAUACGGUGUAGCUAUUCCCACACUUUUGAAAGACGAUCGGCAAAAACCAACAUACACCAAGAACAGACAGACUUAUAUGUCUUUGGUGACCAGACAUACAGUAUCUAUGUAUGGGUCUACAAACACAUUCAUAAAACAAAAAAUCACUUGAGAUGGUGAAUGUUUCGAGGAGGGGCUAUUUUAUGUUUGAAUGGAGACAGUGUUUUUCUGUGCUUUUUGCCUGCAGUCGAACAGGGAUAAGGGACCAGACAGAGGCUCCCUACAGAGAACAAUAACAUGGCGGCCGACCAGUGCAAAAGCUGUUAUACCCCCAGGUGAGUCUGCUCUGCAUUUUAAAGAGCUUUUAGAAGAGCCUGUAUUCUUCUCACUGCUUGCAAUAUGACAAUACAUAAACAAUAUCUGGCAUGACAAAAAAAUAUACCAAUUGUUUUUUUGUUUUUUUUUAAUUGUCCCUCUGGUAGUCUGGAAGGGCUUAUUGUUUAGCAUUCUUAUUUUCAUCAGAGGAAAAAUAUGAAUACGAAAAUAAAAAAAAGGAAUAUUCAAAGUGGUUAUGUAAA